AUACGGAGGGUGCGAGCGUUAAUCGGAAUUACUGGGCGUAAAGCGCGCGUAGGCGGUUUGUUAAGUCGGAUGUGAAAUCCCCGGGCUCAACCUGGGACCUGCAUCCGAUACUGGCAGGCUAGAGUCUGGUAGAGGGGGUAGAAUUCCUGGUGUAGCGGUGAAAUGCGUAGAUAUCAGGAGGAAUACCAGUGGCGAAGGCGGCCCCCUGGACUGAGACUGACGCUGAGGUGCGAAAGCGUGGGGAGCAAACAGGAUUAGAUACCCUAGUAGUCC
rnacentral:rRNA from 1 species